rnacentral:misc_RNA from 1 species
GAUGAAGAACGCAGCGAAAUGCGAUAAGUAAUGUGAAUUGCAGAAUUCAGUGAAUCAUCGAAUCUUGGAACGCACAUUGCGCCCGCCAGUAUUCUGGCGGGCAUGCCUGUCUGAGCGUCAUUUCAACCCUCAUGCCCCUAGGGCGUGGUGUUGGGGAUCGGCCAAAGCCCGCGAGGGACGGCCGGCCCCUAAAUCUAGUGGCGGACCCGUCGUGGCCUCCUCUGCGAAGUAGUGAUAUUCCGCAUCGGAGAGCGAUGAGCCCCUGCCGUUAAACCCCCAACUUUCCAAGGUUGACCUCAGAUCAGGUAGGAAUACCCGCUGAACUUAAGCAUAUCAAUAAGCGGAGGA